rnacentral:rRNA from 1 species
UACGUAGGGCGCAAGCGUUGUCCGGAUUUAUUGGGCGUAAAGAGCUCGUAGGCGGUCUGUCGCGUCGGCUGUGAAAACCCGAGGCUCAACCUCGGGCCUGCAGUCGAUACGGGCAGACUAGAGUGUGGUAGGGGAGACUGGAAUUCCUGGUGUAGCGGUGAAAUGCGCAGAUAUCAGGAGGAACACCGGUGGCGAAGGCGGGUCUCUGGGCCGAUACUGACGCUGAGGAGCGAAAGCGUGGGGAGCGAACAGG